AGCUCCAAUAGCGUAUAUUAAAGUUGUUGCAGUUAAAAAGCUCGUAGUUGGAUUUGUGGUUCGUCCCGCCGGCUGGGCCUUUUGGCCUUUGCUGUGCUGGUCGUCCAUCCUUGGGUGGAAUCUGUGUGGCAUUAGGUUGUCGCGCAGGGGAUGCCCAUCGUUUACUGUGAAAAAAUUAGAGUGUUCAAAGCAGGCUUAUGCCGUUGAAUAUAUUAGCAUGGAAUAAUGAUAUAGGACCUUGGUACUAUUUUGUUGGUUUGCGCACUGAGGUAAUGAUUAAUAGGGACAGUUGGGGGUAUUCGUAUUCCAUUGUAAGAGGUGAAAUUCUUGGAUUUUUGGAAGACGAACUACUGCGAAAGCAUUUACCAAGGAUGUUUUCAUUAAUCAAGAACGAAAGUAC
rnacentral:rRNA from 1 species